rnacentral:rRNA from 1 species
UACAGAGGGUGCGAGCGUUAAUCGGAAUUACUGGGCGUAAAGCGUGCGUAGGCGGCCUGCUAAGUCGAACGUGAAAUCCCCGGGCUCAACCCGGGAACUGCGUCCGAUACUGGCAGGCUUGAAUCCGGGAGAGGGAUGCGGAAUUCCAGGUGUAGCGGUGAAAUGCGUAGAUAUCUGGAGGAACACCGGUGGCGAAGGCGGCAUCCUGGACCGGCAUUGACGCUGAGGCGCGAAAGCAUGGGAUAGCGAACAGG